rnacentral:tRNA from 1 species
ACAUUGGUGGUUCAGUGUAGAAUUCUUGCCUUCCACAGCAGAGACCUGGGUUUGAUUCCCAGCCAGUGCA